rnacentral:lncRNA from 1 species
UCCCAACCAAUCUUUCUCUCUUAGUUUUCUCUCUUCUCCCAUUUGAAAAUUCUUAAGGAAUUCUAUUUGUUUGUAAUAUUUUGGAGAUAGUAAAGUUAUCAUCUGGUGUUAGUGCCCGAGGACGUAGGUAUAAUUUACCGAACCUCGUUAAAACUCUUGUGUUUUUUCUUAUCCUAUUUUUCUUUCAAUAUUUGAGGGUAUAAUAGUAGUAUUUAAUUGUGCUAUUAAAUUACGAUAGAAGGGAUAUUCUGACUAAGGAAAGACUUGAUACUUAAGAGAUCCUUGUGAUCCACCUCUCUUUCCUGGGAAUUGAACUUUGUGUGAUUGUUUAGUACAAUAAUUUACACGCUUCCGACCCUAUUGGAACUACAGCACCUAAUCAGGGUCAUGAGAUUGUUGUUGUUUCCGGUGUCAACAAUGGAAUCCCCGAAGGCAAUAACAGCAAGAACCGUUACAUUUGGAGGUAGCUUUACCAAAGCCUUUGUUUCGCACAUCAAAAACGCUAAUAUUACCAAAAGAGGAGACAGCUCCAUGGUAUAUUGAAUGAAGCUGUUAUUUCACUAAGUAUGCAUAUAAUACUGAACUUUGAUAAAAGAUGGUUUGUCUUCCCACUCCUCUUUCUUGGCUUAUUUAUACAUGCAAAUCACAGGAUUUCAUUGAAUGCUAAGCAGAUCAUAAAUUAAAGAGGAAAGAUUUUAUUUCAUAAAGCACAGCCAAUUUUACUUACUUUAUUUAUUUUUCUAUUUUAUGAUUAAUGUUUUUGGGGGGUCGCGGCUGCUAUUUUAAGAAAUGUUGUUUAGAAGGCAUUGUACCAUUUAUGUAAAGGAAUGUAAAUAUUAAAUUUGUAUCUAUACGCCAUCAGCGAAAUUCGUGUUAUAGUGAUAAAUUUUUUUAAUAUAAUCAACAUUUUACAUUUUUUUAGUAAUUUAAUUUUUACUAUUUUUUUAGUUAAAUUUAAUCAUUAAUCUUUCAAAAAAGAUUAAAUUAUUUUUUUAAUAGAUAUGUAGACUAAAAUAUUAAUUUAUUUAAAUUAUUUAACAAAUAAUUUAAAAUUUAUAAAUAUAAAAUAUAAAAAUUCAAAAAAAAGUAAUAUUUUCGUUAAAAAUUUAAUGUGUAAGUUGUCAUGCAAAUUGUCAUAUCUAAAUUUAACAUCAAUAUUUUAUUAAAAAAACAAUCAUUUGAUUUAUUUAUUUUUUGAAAUGUUGAUUAUCAAAUUUAACUCUUUUAAAAAAUUUAAAAUUCAAAGAUUAAUUGACAAAUUAACAGAAAAAUGUAAAAGUUUAUGCCAAAAAAUAUUUAUUGAAAUAAAAUAAAGAAAAACUUGUAAUGUAAUUUAUAUUCAUAUUUCUACCUUCCUAUAAACCAUUAAAACAAAAAGGUAGAGAUGGUGUUAGAAGGUGAAUAAACAUUUAUUACAAAUUAGAUAAUGCUUUUCUUUUUGGAAGAAGAUAAUGCUUGGUAUCACGUAAAUAAAAUUAUUGUAACCUACCCAAGCUACACGUUCCAGUUCUACGUUCAAUUUCCCAGCUUUCUCUUUAUUUUGGUCAUGGAUCUACUGCCAUCUUUCACCCUCUUUUUCUUUCAUGAGUCUUUUUUCUUUUUCUAAAGUGAAAGAAUAUUGUAGAACACAUAUAUAUAUAUAUAUAUAUGCAUAGCAAACAUGAACGACAUUUGGACCUUGUCCAUGGUUCCUCACAUUUUUUAACUCUUUUCUCAUCUAAUUUAUUAUGUAUAAUUUAAGGUUUAUUUAUUUUGUGUUCGUUAAAGAAAAAAAUUAUCUAACUUUAAAUACAAUACUCUAAACCCUAAACUCUAACCUUAAAUACUAAACCUUAAAUUCUUAAAAAAAAAACAACAACAACAACAACAUAAUUCCCCCAAACAUAUCAUAUAUAUAUUUUUUAAUAUUUUAUUUAUUUAUUAUAUAAUACUUAGAAUUACUAAUAACCCUCUCUCAAGUCUCAAUCUCUAAAUAGGAGUACAAACACAUUUCAAAACAAUUAAAUUCACGAUAACAAUGUCAAUACCAACCGAACUAAAACUCCAUAUUUUUACUACACUUCCCUACUUUAAAAUUUUGAAAAGUUUAAACAAGUCAACUAUUCUGAAAUAAAUUUCAUUGAUCAUAUAUACCCAAAAUGGUAGUGAAUGAAAAUGAUGAGACGUGCGUAAUGCAUUUUUCUUUGUUAAAAUUUGACAGAUAAUUUUAUUUAUUAUCCAAGUUAAGACAGAUGUACAAAAAAAAAUUGCAAAUUAAAGGAUUCCUAAUAAGGCAAAGAAAAGUCGCAAUCACAACCUCCAACUGCCACAAUUAGUUUAUAAAUUGCCCAACCCCGCUGGCAAUUAUGAUCCUAAUCCUACAUAUAAACCACAAAUAUCUCUUAAAUUUUCAACUAAAUCUAGUUUUGGAUUGAUUUUAAGUUGUAAACUUUGAAACCAAAAGUCAAUUAAAAUUUGAAUUAUUUUAAAGCUCAACACCACACCUGGGAAUGAA